rnacentral:miRNA from 1 species
UACAUCUCAUUGACCGGAAGGAAUCCCUUCCGGUUGAUGAGAUUGUUAUACCUCACCAAUCAGAAGGGAUUCCUUCCGUCAAUGAGGAUGUU